CAGGUUAAAUCAUAGUUAUAUU
rnacentral:snRNA from 1 species